rnacentral:lncRNA from 1 species
GCAUGCCCGCGCGCGUGCGGGUGGAGGAGGGUGGGGAGAGACGGAGAGGAUGUGAAUGGGGAGGGGGCAGUAGCCCCCUUCCCCCACCCUUUCCUUCUAGCCGGGCUGGGUGGGGGGAGGGGCCGGGCUGAGGCGGCGGCGGCGGCGGCGGCGGCGGCUCGCUCCCGGAGGGCAGAGCCGGCAAGGGCGGGACUGGCCCGCUGCGGGCGGACGAGGGAGCCGCGGAGCUAACGGGUCCGGACGCCGCCAGCGGCGGCAGCUUUCUGCACGGGCGGAGGCGGCGGCAGAAGCGGCGAGCAUGGCCCGCGCGGCGCCCGGCGCUGACUGAGGGUCAUGCUGCGGCAGCCUGGCGCCUGACGAGUGAGGGGGAACCUGCCAGGGGAUUACUGCGAGCACGAGCUACCAGCAGGAGGAUAGCAGGCCUCAGGGGAGUGGGGAUGGGCAGAGCAGCCUGCCUGCGAGGCUGGGCCAGUGGCACCAAGGAGGGCUGGGCCCUGGCAGGGAGCUCGGCACACGCUAAGCUGACCCAGACGGCAUUCGAAGCAGGUCCCUGCUGAGCAGCCGCUGUGCCCAGGCCCCGGAGGACCUCACAGCAGGAGCAGGAGCUCUGCGAACCCCUCUGCAACCACAUUUGGGGCUGUGACCGUCUGGAGAAGGGACCAGCACCUCGAAUGGGAAGCGGAAGGGCAGAACCUAGUGCAAGGAGGAUCUUGGUCUCUGCAGCAGAGUUUUCGGACACCCACAGAGCUUCUUGGGUCUCUUCUCUCAGGACUGGGGCCUUGUUCCCUCCUGUGGUGGAGGGGUUGGGCCAGGAGGGCCAACUGAGGUGGGGACGACUCUCGGAUGGAAUCCAGGCCACUUGAAGCCCAUGUGCUCUCUGCUGUGAUUGGGGUUCGAGGGCUUCCCCACUGCAGGGGACGAGGGGCCGCCUCCGUGUCUGCUCAUGAACCACAAGGACCCCGAAUGCUCCAGACUGGACCAUUUCGAGCCGCCAAAGAGGGGGCCCCCCAGAGCUGGCAGCCAGCAACCCCAAGGGACUAGAGGGCUGGGAUGGACUGACCUCCCCCUCGCCAGGGCAGUGGGAGAGUCAGAGCCUCUGUGGCCCAGCUAGUGACAGAGAGACCCGAUGAAGCCAUAAGCCGGCACCUGAGUGGCUCAGGGACAGGGGAGCCACUGCAGCCUACUGUGCUUCCCCCUUACGUUGAGGGAGGGUGUGGUAAGGGACCCCUGCCUCUGUCCCCUCCUCAGCACGUGUCCCUAUGCCCUUUGCACGUGGUGCCAGAAGAAGCAGGCUACGCUGUGGCUGGCCCUUCCGUGGGCUGGGAAAGGAGUGGCCACGGUGACACCCACCCGCCCACCAGGCUGGUGGUCUAG